rnacentral:rRNA from 1 species
UACGAAGGGGACUAGCGUUGUUCGGAUUUACUGGGCGUAAAGCGCGCGUAGGCGGAUCGCUAAGUCAGGGGUGAAAUCCCAGGGCUCAACCCUGGAACUGCCUUUGAUACAGACGAUCUGGAGAUCGGGAGAGGUUGGUGGAAUUCCGAGUGUAGAGGUGAAAUUCGUAGAUAUUCGGAGGAACACCAGAAGCGAAGGCGGCCAACUGGCCCGAUACUGACGCUGAGGCGCGAAAGCGUGGGGAGCAAACAGG